AGCGUUUAGCUGCGAAUUGAGCCAGUAUUGUAAAAAUCGUCUAACCGAUCUACCUAGGAACGACGUAAUUAGGGAGUGUUGCAGUAAAGAGCACAUAAAUCCGAUAGCAGAAUGCUUCAAGAAGAAAAUACAGAAUUAUCAACAAUUGAAAAGGUGCAAAUCGUCAUUAUUUACUUGCAUUGACGUAA